rnacentral:rRNA from 1 species
AGGGUUUGAUCCUGGCUCAGGAUGAACGCUGGCGGCAUGCCUAAUACAUGCAAGUCGAACGAACUACCUCUAUGACCUAAAAAGUGCUUGCACUGGAUAGUAAUUAGAAUUUGUAGUUAGUGGCGGACGGGUGAGUAACACGUGGGUUACCUGCCACACAGAAUGGAAUAACUAUUGGAAACGAUAGCUAAUACCGUAUAUGACCUUCGGGUUGAAAGGGGCGUUUGCCUCGCUGUGUGAUGGGCCUGCGGCGCAUUAGCUAGUUGGUAAGGUAAAGGCUUACCAAGGCGACGAUGCGUAGCCGGACUGAGAGGUCGAUCGGCCACAUUGGGACUGAGACACGGCCCAAACUUCUACGGGAGGCAGCAGUAGGGAAUUUUCCGCAAUGGACGAAAGUCUGACGGAGCAAUGCCGCGUGAGUGAUGAAGGUUUUCGAAUCGUAAAGCUCUGUUGUAAGGGAAGAACAGCACUAGUAGGAAAUGGCUAGUGUGUGACGGUACCUUACCAGAAAGCCACGGCUAACUACGUGCCAGCAGCCGCGGUAAU